rfam:Capsella rubella cultivar Monte Gargano unplaced genomic scaffold scaffold_3, whole genome shotgun sequence.
UACCCGUGUUGUGGGCACUGAGAAUGAUAAGACUUGAACCUUUCCCAUGCUUCACAAAACGUCUCUCCAUUCUUCUGGCUGAAUCCGAAGAUAUCAUUCCAUAGGCG